rnacentral:tRNA from 1 species
UAAACUUUAAGUUAUAUAAACUGAAGACCUUCAAAGUCUUUAAAAAGAAACUCAUCUUAAGUUUAU